rnacentral:rRNA from 1 species
GUGGGGAAUAUUGGACAAUGGGCGCAAGCCUGAUCCAGCCAUGCCGCGUGAGUGAUGAAGGCCUUAGGGUUGUAAAGCUCUUUCAGUGGGGACGAUAAUGACGGUACCCACAGAAGAAGCCCCGGCUAACUUCGUGCCAGCAGCCGCGGUAAUACGAAGGGGGCUAGCGUUGUUCGGAUUUACUGGGCGUAAAGCGCACGUAGGCGGAUCGUUAAGUCGGGGGUGAAAUCCUGGAGCUCAACUCCAGAACUGCCUUCGAUACUGGCGAUCUUGAGUACGGAAGAGGUGAGUGGAACUCCUAGUGUAGAGGUGGAAUUCGUAGAUAUUAGGAAGAACACCAGUGGCGAAGGCGGCUCACUGGUCCGGUACUGACGCUGAGGUGCGAAAGCGUGGGGAGCAAACAGGAUUAGAAACCCUAGUAGUCC